rnacentral:snRNA from 1 species
AUACCUUUCUCGGUCUUUUUGCUAAGAUCAACGUGUAGUAGUAUCUAUUUUUAUCAGUUUAAUGUUUGAUACGUGAAUCAUUGACUCACACGAUAUCCAUCUAUC